AUUGAACGCUGGCGGCAGGCCUAACACAUGCAAGUCGAGCGAGCGGCGGACGGGUGAGUAAUGUCAGGGAAACUGCCGGAUGGAGGGGGAUAACUAAUGGAAACGGUAGCUAAUACCGCAUAACAUCAGAUGUGCGCAGGUGGGAUUAGCUAGUAGGUGGGGGAAUGGCGCAGCUAGGCGACGAGCCCUAGCUGGUCUGAGAGGAUGACCAGCCACACUGGAACUGAGACACGGCCCAUACUCCUACGGGAGGCAGCAGUGGGGAAUAUUGCACAAUGGGCGCAAGCCUGAUGCAGCAAUGCCGCGUGUGUGAAGAAGGCCUUCGGGUUGUAAAGCACUUUCAGCGGGGAGGCGUUACCCGCAGAAGAAGCACCGGCUAACUCCGUGCCAGCAGCCGCGGUAAUAC
rnacentral:rRNA from 1 species